rnacentral:rRNA from 1 species
GAUGAACGCUGGCGGCGUGCCUAAUACAUGCAAGUCGAGCGAACAGAUAAGGAGCUUGCUCCUUUGACGUUAGCGGCGGACGGGUGAGUAACACGUGGGUAACCUACCUAUAAGACUGGAAUAACUCCGGGAAACCGGGGCUAAUGCCGGAUAACAUUUAGAACCGCAUGGUUCUAAAGUGAAAGAUGGUUUUGCUAUCACUUAUAGAUGGACCCGCGCCGUAUUAGCUAGUUGGUAAGGUAACGGCUUACCAAGGCAACGAUACGUAGCCGACCUGAGAGGGUGAUCGGCCACACUGGAACUGAGACACGGUCCAGACUCCUACGGGAGGCAGCAGUAGGGAAUCUUCCGCAAUGGGCGAAAGCCUGACGGGGCAACGCCGCGUGAGUGAUGAAGGUCUUCGGAUCGUAAAACUCUGUUAUUAGGGAAGAACAAAUGUGUAAGUAACUGUGCACGUCUUGACGGUACCUAAUCAGAAAGCCACGGCUAACUACGU